rnacentral:snoRNA from 14 species
GUUUGAAUGAUGACUGAAAUUGUCGGAUACCCCUUCACUCCUUCCUGAGUGACACACUGCAGUCUGACAAAC